CCUACGGGAGGCAGCAGUAGGGAAUCUUGCACAAUGGGCGCAAGCCUGAUGCAGCGACGCCGCGUGGGGGACGAAGGCCUUAGGGUUGUAAACCCCUUUCGGCAGGGAAGAAGCGCAAGUGACGGUACCUGCAGAAGAAGUCCCGGCUAACUACGUGCCAGCAGCCGCGGUAAGAUGUAGGGGACGAGCGUUGUCCGGAUUCAUUGGGCGUAAAGCGCGCGUAGGCGGUUCGGAAAGUCGGAUGUGAAAACACGAGGCUCAACCUCGUGCGUGCAUCCGAAACUUCCGGACUAGAGGUAGGUAGGGGAGAUCGGAAUUCCUGGUGUAGCGGUGAAAUGCGCAGAUAUCAGGAGGAACACCGGUGGCGAAGGCGGAUCUCUGGGCCUUACCUGACGCUGAGGCGCGAAAGCUAGGGGAGCAAACAGGAUUAGAUACCCUGGUAGUCCUAGCCGUAAACGUUGGGUGCUAGGUGUGGGAGGACAUCGACCCCUUCCGUGCCGAAGCUAACGCAUUAAGCACCCCGCCUGGGGAGUACGGCCGCAAGGCUAAAACUCAAAGGAAUUGACGG
rnacentral:rRNA from 1 species